CAGAUUCCCCUCGUGCUUUCUCCUUUCUGAACAAGCAUCCAAAUAUUUCAACUAAGCUGAACAUACAAAUAUUGUUUAUGAAUUUGUUUUCUUUUGUCAGGUCUGGUCAGCCAACUGCGCAUCUCUAGCGACUGCACAGCUUGUUGUGUUGGCUUCACACAUGGCUGGGCUAGGACUUCCUGACUAUGAUGCUUGGUACAUGAUCGAAACAAUUGCAGAGAGGAACAAUGUCGGAUCCAAACAAUUUGUCAUCUGUGUACGCACGCUCUCUGGUGAGCGUGUGCUAAC